UUUUAUUUACCAAGCUCAUGUCAGAACGAACAAGUCUAGAGAACCUUAAAGGGUUAUAUUUACCAAGCUCAUGUCAGAAAGAACAAGCAUAGAGGACUUUAUCCGUGUGCUUCGCUUAAAUGGACUGACUUAUAUUGUCAUAUGUGAAUUUUUUAUGUUACUCUACUAACAGAGUGUGUGUGUGUAAAAGAUACUGCUCCUCAUUGGUUCAGCGUGCUGACGAGGCCUUUCGCCGAAUACUAGAACUCAUCAGAUCGGCUGGGAUACGACAGACUAAGUAUUGGUCUAGGAGCUACUAUAUUUUCACUUUUCAUGAUUAAUGUCCACCACGGGGAUCAAAUCUCGGAUUUAAGCAUUGUAAGUCCGUAACCCGCUGUCCCAUCGGGGGACUUUUGUACAGUGAAUAAAGAUCCUGAUGUAAGUGUGAUA